rnacentral:rRNA from 1 species
UACGUAGGGUGCAAGCGUUACUCGGAAUUACUGGGCGUAAAGCGUGCGCAGGCGGUUGUGCAAGACAGAUGUGAAAUCCCCGGGCUCAACCUGGGAACUGCAUUUGUGACUGCACGGCUAGAGUGUGUCAGAGGGGGGUAGAAUUCCACGUGUAGCAGUGAAAUGCGUAGAGAUGUGGAGGAAUACCGAUGGCGAAGGCAGCCCCCUGGGAUAGCACUGACGCUCAUGCACGAAAGCGUGGGGAGCAAACAGG